rnacentral:rRNA from 1 species
GACGAACGCUGGCGGCGUGCUUAACACAUGCAAGUCGAACGGAAAGGCCCUGCUUUUGUUGGGUGCUCGAGUGGCGAACGGGUGAGUAACACGUGAGUAACCUGCCCUUGACUUUGGGAUAACUUCAGGAAACUGGGGCUAAUACCGGAUAGGAGCUCCUGCUGCAUGGUGGGGGUUGGAAAGUUUCGGCGGUUGGGGAUGGACUCGCGGCUUAUCAGCUUGUUGGUGGGGUAGUGGCUUACCAAGGCUGUGACGGGUAGCCGGCCUGAGAGGGUGACCGGCCACAUUGGGACUGCGAUACGGCCCAGCAUCCUACGGGAGGCAGCAGUGGGGAAUAGUGCACAAUGGGCGGAAGCCUGAUGCAGCAACGCCGCGUGCGGGAUGACGGCCUUCGGGUUGUAAACCGCUUUCGCCUGUGACGAAGCGUGAGUGACGGUAAUGGGUAAAGAAGCACCGGCUAACUACGUG